AUUAGGUCGCUGGUGGCUUAUGCUCUUCCUUCCUCCUCUUUUUAGGCUCGUGGCAUUGAUGUGCAGCAGGUCUCCCUGGUUAUCAACUAUGAUCUGCCCACCAACCGGGAGAACUACAUCCACAGGAUUGGUCGAGGCGGCCGCUUCGGCAGGAAAGGGGUGGCCAUCAACAUGGUGACGGAAGAGGACAAGCGCACCUUGCGCGACAUCGAGACCUUCUACAACACCUCCAUCGAGGAGAUGCCUCUCAACGUGGCCGACCUCAUCUGAGCCUCGGCUGCCCGGCGGGGCCACAUCGGUGCCUAUAACAACCUCCCCGGUGGGCACAACAAAACACCCCUCGAUCCUUCCCACCCAACCAGAAAGAAAACCCCAAAUAUUUGCCCUUUUCUAUUUUUUUUUUUUUGAGUUUUCUUGCCUUUUGAAUAAAUGUCACUUUUUUGGAGGCAAAAAAUGAAAUUUAUAGUGUUUACUGGCGCUUUUUCCUCUGUCUCUUUCUCUCUCUUUCAUUCCUCCUUUUCCCCUUCUCUCUUUUCUUUCUCUCUCUCUCUCUCUCUCUGAUUUCAUUUUUCCAAACAGCCCCCAGAUUCGAACCCAGAACCCACAUCCAGGUCUCCUUAUAUAUAUUUUUUAAUGGAGAGAAGGAAGUUUCCGAAGCUUCCUCGCCUCUCUUCUCGCUUUCCCUCCAGACAAACAUCCCCAUAAUUAUUUUUGUAGCCGUCUUCAACGUUUUUUCCCUUUUUCCGCAGAAUCAUGGUGCUAAAACACUGGGGGAAGGGGGAAACCGCUUGAGAAUUUGAAACCUACCUCACAAAGAAGGUCAUGGUUUUCUGUUCUCCCUGCCUGGAAAUCAUUGGUGAAGAAGCAAACACGCAAAACACACAAACACACAAAAAACAUGCCAAUUUUUCUCCCCCUUUCGACGCCAAGGCGCAAAACCCUUUUUCUCCUUCCUUCCCUCCCUCAAUUCCCAUUGUUCGUUCGUUAAAAUAAAAUCGAAAAAAAAAAUUGGAAAACUUUUUUCAUACAGCAAAAAAAGAAAUCUGUGCGUUGCAAAACCUGAAAAAAACCCUUUUUUUGUAUAGCUAUUAUUUAUUCAAAAGGAAAAGUUACAGUGACCAAAAUAAACGUGAUCUUGAGAAAAACAAAACCAAA